GAUGAACGCUGGCGGCGUGCCUAAUACAUGCAAGUCGAGCGAACGGACGAGAAGCUUGCUUCUCUGAUGUUAGCGGCGGACGGGUGAGUAACACGUGGAUAACCUACCUAUAAGACUGGGAUAACUUCGGGAAACCGGAGCUAAUACCGGAUGAUAUUUUGAACCGCAUGGUUCAAUAGUGAAAGACGGUUUUGCUGUCACUUAUAGAUGGAUCCGCGCUGCAUUAGCUAGUUGGUAAGGUAACGGCUUACCAAGGCAACGAUGCGUAGCCGACCUGAGAGGGUGAUCGGCCACACUGGAACUGAGACACGGUCCAGACUCCUACGGGAGGCAGCAGUAGGGAAUCUUCCGCAAUGGGCGAAAGCCUGACGGAGCAACGCCGCGUGAGUGAUGAAGGUCUUCGGAUCGUAAAACUCUGUUAUUAGGGAAGAACAUAUGUGUAAGUAACUGUGCACAUCUUGACGGUACCUAAUCAGAAAGCCACGGCUAACUACGUG
rnacentral:rRNA from 1 species